rnacentral:rRNA from 1 species
AACGAACGCUGGCGGCAUGCCUAACACAUGCAAGUCGAACGAGACCUUCGGGUCUAGUGGCGCACGGGUGCGUAACGCGUGGGAACCUGCCCUUAGGUUCGGAAUAACUCCCCGAAAGGGGUGCUAAUACCGGAUAAUGUCUUCGGACCAAAGAUUUAUCGCCUUUGGAUGGGCCCGCGUUGGAUUAGCUAGUUGGUAGGGUAAAAGCCUACCAAGGCGACGAUCCAUAGCUGGUCUGAGAGGAUGAUCAGCCACACUGGGACUGAGACACGGCCCAGACCCCCAGGGGGGGCAGCAGUGGGGAAUAUUGGAAAAGGGGCGAAAGCCUGAUCCAGCAAUGCCGCGUGAGUGAUGAAGGCUUUGGGGUUGUAAAGCUCUUUUACCCGGGAUGAUAAUGACAGUCCCGGGAAAAUAAGCCCCGGCUAACUCCGU